CCUACGGGAGGCAGCAGUGAGGAAUAUUGGUCAAUGGUCGGGAGCCUGAACCAGCCAAGCCGCGUGAGGGAUGACGGUACAGAGUAUCGUAAACCUCUUUUGUCAGGGAACAAAGGCGGGGACGUGUCCCCGGAUGAGUAUACCUGAAGAAAAAGCAUCGGCUAACUCCGUGCCAGCAGCCGCGGUAAUACGGAGGAUGCGAACGUUAUCCGGAUUUAUUGGGUUUAAAGGGUGUGCAGGCGGUGUUUUAAGUCAGCGGUCAAAGCGCGGGGCACAACCCCGUCCCGCCGUUGAAACUGGCAGUCGCGAGUUGGAGAGAAGUAUGCGGAAUGCGCGGUGUAGCGGUGAAAUGCAUAGAUAUCGCGCAGAACCCCGAUUGCGAAGGCAGCAUGCCGGUUCCACACUGACGCUGAGGCACGAAAGCGUGGGUAUCGAACAGGAUUAGAUACCCCAGUAGUC
rnacentral:rRNA from 1 species